UAGGAAGUGACAAAGAAUAUUUACCAAAAUGAAAUCUGAAAAACAUGCUAGUAUAAUACAGUGAGUCUCAAUAUGUUAGGAGCUCAGAGAGCAAUGAUGCAUUUCAAUUCUGUUUUACUUUACCCUGAUAAUGUGUGUUCAAAUAUCAAGCUCUUCCUAAUAACAAAUUACUGUUUCUUACUUACCUCUCCAAUAUAUUUGCUAAUUUUAUACAUCUGUGUUUAAUUUUGCCUUUAUUAAGUUUUGAUUUACAAAUAAACUAUGUGUAUAUAUAUGAUAUUACGUGACACUUUGAUAUAGGUAUGCAUUUUUGAAUGAUUGAAUCAAGUUACAUGGCCUGUCACCACACAUACUUACAGUUUUUGUAGUGCGAACAUUCAAGAUCUAGUCCCAAAGUAAUUAUCAAAUAGAUAAUGUCAAAUUAUUAACUAUAGUCACCAUGCUCAUAUAAUCUUCAGAGUUUAUUCCUCUUGUCUGAGUGAAAUUUUGUACUACUUGACUAACAUCCCUCUAUUUCCAACCCUAAUCUCUUUCUUCUGUCCCCUUCUGUUAUAUAUUUAUUUAUUUUUCUUUGAUUUCACAUAUGUAUGACAACAUGCAGAAUUUUUCUUUCUGUGCCUACAUUGUUUAUUUAGUGUAACUGUUAGUAAAAUGGUGCCAUCUUAUCUGAGGCACCAUAAAUGCCCCAGACGCCAUCUUAGGCUCUGACCCCAGAGGCCACCUUGCACAAUAGGCUUUGAUCUUAAGCCCCAUGAUGCAACUUCAGGUGUCAGCUCCACCUCCACGCUAACAGGAUUCGCUACUCCUACUCCUACUUCCCUGACCCCCACACAGGACUUUCCAGUACAUUGGCUCUCUCUCCUGAUCCCUCUCUCACUUACUCUCUCUCACCCUCUCCUCCCCGGCCUGUUGGGCUUCCCCCACCCAACAACAUUUAAUCUUUCCUUUAACUCCAGUGUUUGGUGUGUGUAAUGGUGGCCUUACAAUAACUUCCUCCCGAUUUAUUCGUGCUAUCACAAAUAAUAGGGCUUCCUUUAUAAUUUGAUUGAAUAUAAUUUCCAUUUUGUAUAUAUAUCAUCAUUAAAUAUUCUUGGACCAUCUUCCACUGCUUUCCCAGGCCAUAGCAGAGAGCCAUUUCAGAAAUGGAGCAGCCGGGAUUCACACUGGCACCCAUAUGGGAUACCAGCACUGCAGGCAGCGGCUUUACCUGCACUGACACAGCGCCGGCCCUGACAAAGUGUUCUUUUAACAUUGGUAAUGGUGCAAUCUAAAGUAUAACUUGGCUUUGACCUUUUUAAUCAAGAUAGCUAUUUGGCAUUUUUUGGUGGGUUUUGUAUGAAUUAAAUUUUUUAUAUUUUUUGGAAGAAAUUGGAAUUCUGAUGGAGACUGUGGGGAGCAACUCGGACUAGACUAAGUUACUGGAAUUAAGACUUAUUCUAUGCAUCUGCUUUCCCACAAUAUGGUGCUGAGAGGGGAAACAGCUUCUACACAGCUGCCUCCAGUUCAACCAAUAAACUGUAGGACUUGCUCCUGAUUGGAGGAGAGCAGCGUACUCGGCGUGUGGGUAGCAGAGUUGGGACUGGUGGAAGAGGACUAUAAAGGAGGAGAGAGACAACAUGCACCAGGAACAUCUGAAGGAACACCUGUGCAGCCCCCGAGAGAGCCGGCCGGCGGUGUGCCGCUCCCCCGCGGAAGUGGGGAAUGUGGCAGGGGGAACCGCCCUUCCACGGAGGUGGAAGGGAUGGUAGCCAACCCGGGAAGAACCAGCAGCAAACCCGGGGAGGGCCGAGCAGACAAAAGAACAGCGCAGGGUCCUGUGUCGUUCCUCCAUGAAGAUGGGGAGCGACAGACAAGCACUUUAGUAGCUCAUAUAUUUUGAUAAUAUUAACAUCUUCAAUCUAUGAACAUGGGGUAUCUUCCCAUUUAUUUGUGUCUAGUUAGAUUUCUUUCAUCAAUGUGUACUAGUGCUCAAUGUAACUUUUUAUUGCCUUGGUUAAAUUUAUUCCUAAGCAUUUUAUACUAUAUUUUAAAUUAAUCUAUCAGUUAAAAUGUCAGUUAAUGCACUCACAGCUCAUGGUGGACCUGAGAGGCAGCAGAGACAGCUGAAAUUAUCAAGUUUCUGCCACCCAUAUGGGAAACCUUGGUGAGUUCUGGGUGUUCCGGCUUUGACACCAACCAGUGGUCUUGGUGGACACCUGGGGAGCAAACCAGGAAAUGGUAGUGCAAUGAGCAUUCUUUUAAAGAUUUUAGUUAUUUGAAAGGCAGAGUUACAGAGAGAGCAGAGGUUGAGGGAGAGAAAGAGAGAAGUCUUCCAUCCACUGGUUCACUCCCCAGAUGGCCUCAUCUGCUGGAGCUGCACUGAUUCGAAGCCAGGAGCCAGAAGCUUCUUCCAGGUCUCUCACGUGGGUGCAGGGGCCCAAGGACUUGGGUCAUUUUCCAUAGCUUUCCCAGGCCAUAGCAGAGAGCUGGAUUUGAAGUGGAUCAGCCAGGACUCAAAUCUGAACCCAUGUGGGAUGCUGGCACUGUAGGCAGCAACUUUACCAACUAUACCACAGCAACAGCCACAGACUGUAUUUUGAUUAAAAAAAUUUUAUUAUAUGACAUUUAAAAGUUAAUAUCAAUAAAUCUGAACCUUGAUUUUACAAUUUAUAAUGUUGGCUUUUCCAUCCAACCCUCCACUUUAUAUCACAUGAUUUGGACAAAGUAAUGGUCCCAGAAAGUGUCCGUUUCCUAAAGCCAGGAACCCAUGACUGUUACCUUAUUUGACAAAAUGAACUGUGAGAUGUGGACCUUGAGAUAGGAGAUUGCUCUAGAUUUUUCAAGUGGGCCCACUGCCAUCAAAAUUUAUUCUGGCAGAGAGCCUUUCCCAGAUCUGUCCUUAGAAAGACAUAUCACAGUGUCAUAUAGUCAGAGCACUGCUGUAGUAUUGGCUUUGGAGAAGGAAGAAGUGGUCCAUGAAUCAAGGAGUGCAGUCAGCCUCUAGAAGAGUAAAGAGGCUUACCUUGAGCCUAGAGAAAGGAACACAGCCAUGCUAAGUCCUUUAUUUUAGUCAUUGUGACCUGUGCAGACUUCUGACUCUAAGAACUCUAGGAUAAUAAAUAUAUGUUGUUUUAAGACACUAACUUUGUGGCAAUACUUUACAACAGCACUAAAAUUUAAUGCAACCACUACAGCCCUGCUUUUAUCAUUCUUCUGUUCUUGUAAACACUAAAUUCUGCAUUUUCUCUUUUUAUGAAUCACAUUGCAUUUAGAAAAGGGAGCACAUAUUCCUUUGUUCAGUACCUGUUGCCCACACAUGUCUGUCAGUGAGGCCAAGGGCCUCAGCUGUUGCACUGUGGUCUCCUGGGACUCAAGUGGUCACUCCUCUUUCCAAAUAGUCACCUUGCCUCCAUGCAGCAUCCCCCUCUGCUGCCAUGGAGGUGUUUCUUAUGAAGAAUAAAUUUGUCUUUAGUGCCCUGUCGUGUCUAAGUUUCCAUAAUAUUGAACAAUGCUAGAGCUUGAUAUUAGGGACUUUUAUUUAAGGUUUUAUAAAAGGUAAAGGAAGCAGUGUCUAUUAAAAAGGCACCUUAAUCAACAGUGUUACAUAUCUCUAUUCCUGAGACCCCUGCACCUGUUCUAUAACAUUGAAUGUAGUACUAAAUAAAUGUUUUAAGCCUUCGGCUUUUUAUAUAUAUUGAGUCAUCCAACCAAAAGCCAUUUGGUUCUCUUUCCAUCAACUCCACUCUAGUUUUCAUGAUUCAUAAAGGAGUAGUUAUUGGAUUAAUAUUCUAUUCUGGAAAAUUAGUAAUUAAAUAAACUAUAGAAGUUAUACAAUUGUGCUUGUAUCAAUCUAUUCUGAAUGUGUUAAGUUUUAUGCAAUAUGUGUAUAAGUACUAUAAAAUUUUGUAAAUAUAUAAAUAAUAUAUACAUACUUCAGUUUUUCAGAACAUGUCCCUAAAUUUUGAGUUCAAAAUUCUAGUUACGAAUAUAAUAGCAGAACCUGUAGGAAAGUUUUGAAAAUUAGGUGAGAAAGUGCCUGGUGCUUUUGAAUACUCUCAUUUCUUUCCCCCUCCUAAUUACAUUUAUUUCACAUAUUCCCUCUUUACCUUUAGAACUAGAGAAUAUACCAUUUGCUAAUUUCUUUUGCUUCUGUAUUGUAGUAAUGGUGAUGUGUGUGGUGAUCCGUGAGCAAUGACAGAUUUUUUAAAAUUCAAGAAUUACAUCCUUGUGUUUUUUUUCUCUUCCCCAAGGGAUAUAAGGCUGUGGUUUCUUCAAACAAGCCUUAGUCACUUCCACUGCACAGGAAAGCACUGUACUUCAAAAGUUCUUGAAUGACAGUUUUCAACAUGAAUCUGUGCAGCUGGAAGCAGAAAGCAAUAAAAGAAGUCUGUUGUCUUGUGGAUUGUUUUCUUUCUCUCAUUUUUUUGUAUAACACUCCUGGAAUUUACUGAAAGUAAAUGAAAUCAGCAUAUGAAAGCAUUAUCUGUACUCCAAUAACUAACAUAUGGAAUCAACCCAGAUGUCCAUCAACUGAUGACCAGAUAAAAAAAUGAUGAUCUUGAAAGACAGAAGAGGCAGCACAUUUAACUCUUCUCCAUCUCUUCUACCAAAUCAACCACUGGUAAGAUAUUGGAACAUGAAACCAGAAGUGAAUUUUCAGGAAGAGCUCAAUCAACUCUCCUGAUUAGAUGAGGCCAAACAAGAAUACUUCUCUUACAGUCAACCAAUUUGGAAGUUUAAUUGUUUUAUUAUUGUUGUGGAACUGAAAGAAAAACCGGCAAAUUCAGGAUUCUAGUUAAGAGUACAAGGCUCUUCCUUCAGCAACUGAUACAUCGAGCACACUAAAAGUUAGUAAGAAUGUGGUUGACCCAAAAGACACUGUCACAGAACUUGAUGCCAUUGAGUAUCUACAACAGAAUACACAUUUGCCAACACAGAGAGUUCUACAACAUAAAGGAUAAACAUUUAUGCAAGUUACCAUAAAAAAAGUGGCAGAAUUUUUACAAAUUGUAUCUCCCUGCUUAUUCAACUGUAUUUAAAGAGGCACACAAGAAUUUGCACAGAGCUUAUCUUAACAAAUUUGCAACAAAAAUCAAGACAUAAAAGGAAAUACGGUGAUGUUCUUAGCUAAAAUUGAGAUUCUUUCACUACGAAUGGGACCAUGAACAACGAAAGAUUAAUAGCCAUCUCUGAAGGCAUAUGCAAUAAAUCAUAGAAUUAAAUCUUUAAGCAAUAUGAUAAGCCCAUGGAAUAUUAACAGGCAAAAGGAGAAAGAUUUGAAAGUUUCAAUGAAGGAAUAAGAUAUGAUUUGUUAGUGGAUACUUUGUGAUACUAGCAGACUAAUUAAUCUAAAAAAGACUGAAUUUUUAAAUAAUUACACACAAUAUGAUUACAACAUUCCAUUUUGGAGUAUUUACUUUCUCUACAGAUGUAUGAUUAGAAAACAGAAAUUUACAUUUUUAUUAACAAGACUCAGUCUAGAAGUAUGACAGAUGUAAGUAUAAAGAAAAACAAGUAAUAAAUAAAACAGAAACAGUACAGUUAUA